CUACAGGGGUAUCUAAUCCCUUUCGCUACCCUAGCCUUCGUGUCUCAGCGUCAGUAAGUGUCCAGAGUUCCGCUUUCGCCACUGGCCUUCCUCACGAUAUCUACGCAUUUCACUGCUACACCGUGAAUUCCGAACUCCCCUCCACUACUCUAGCAAGGCAGUAUCGGAUGCAGUUCCGAGGUUGAGCCCCGGGAUUUCACAUCUGACUUACCCUGCAGCCUACACACGCUUUACGCCCAGUGAUUCCGAACAACGCUUGGGACCUUCGUAUUACCGCGGCUGCUGGCAC
rnacentral:rRNA from 1 species